rnacentral:rRNA from 1 species
GGAAUUGUUCACAAUGGGCGCAAGCCUGAUGACGCAACGCCGCGUGGGGGAUGAAGGCCUUCGGGUCGUAAACCCCUGUCGAAUGGGACGACUAGCCCGCGAUUUAACAAAACGCGGGAUUGACGGUACCUUUAAAGGAAGCCACGGCUAACUAUGUGCCAGCAGCCGCGGUAAGACAGAGGGUGCAAACGUUGUUCGGAAUCACUGGGCGUAAAGCGCGUGUAGGCGGCCAGACAAGUCGGGUGUGAAAGCCCACGGCUCAACCGUGGAAGUGCACUCGAAACUGCUUGGCUAGAGUCCUGGAGAGGAAGGUGGAAUACUCGGUGUAGAGGUGAAAUUCGUAGAUAUCGAGUGGAACACCGGUGGCGAAGGCGGCCUUCUGGACAGUGACUGACGCUGAGACGCGAAAGCGUGGGGAGCAAAC